GGCCGCUGUGAGCAUUAGCGAAGGGCAGAAAGGGACCUUCAGCACAGUGCCGGGUGUGGUGUGUGGUCAGCAAAGGUCAGCUGCUGUCAUUGUCCUGCUGCCCGGGCUGGCGCAGGAGACUGCCGCCAGCUGAAAGUCAAAGACCUUCUCAAUUCCCGAAUACACCAGAAAAUCCCACCUACUCUGGCAGAAGCUCCCAGCAAGCUUAACUGGGUCUAAUUCCACUCUUCAUCAACUUUGAGAAAAGAGUAAGAGAGUCAGGUGGAAGCGUGGAACUUUCCAUGGGGACAUCAGCAGUCGGGAGACACCCAGAAGCGCUGCUGUGGGCCCGCCAGCCCCCGUGUGACCUUCCUGUCCAUCUUGCUCUGGGCCUUCCGGGGGGAGGCCGGCCCGCACGGACCGCAUCCCAGUGUCCUCUGAGUACCUGCUGAAUUUGGAUCACAAGGAGCCUGGACAGGAGACUGGAGGACGGACAGAAGGGGGGCCAGGCCCAGACUGGGAAACGGUGCUUCUUGAGCUCCCCACUGGCCCCUGGGUGGCGUCUCUCUCUCCAUUCAACCUCCUCCGUUUGCAGGUUCCAGUAACUUCCUCUUCCGUCCUCUGCAGGCCUGCGCGGGCAACUGUUGGCAAGACUGCUGCGUCAGAACAAUCUAGGCAGAGCCGUGUCCCCCAGACAUCAAUGCCUGUGUCCCAGAGCCAUGGUUGGGAGAUCCAGA
rnacentral:lncRNA from 1 species